UACGAAGGGUGCAAACGUUGCUCGGAAUUAUUGGGCGUAAAGCGCACGUAGGCGGCAUAGCAAGUCGAAUGUGAAAUCCCUCGGCUUAACCAAGGAAGUGCAUCCGAAACUGCUGUGCUUGAGUACGAAAGAGGAUCGCGGAAUUCCCGGUGUAGAGGUGAAAUUCGUAGAUAUCGGGAGGAACACCAGUGGCGAAGGCGGCGAUCUGGGUCGAUACUGACGCUGAGGUGCGAAAGCGUGGGGAG
rnacentral:rRNA from 1 species